rnacentral:rRNA from 1 species
UGGGGGCCACCCUGAUGGUGCGACGCCGCGUGGGGGAUAAGGUCUUCGGAUUGUAAACCCCUGUCAUGUGGGACAUUAAAAAGAUAGUACCACAAGAGGAAGAGACGGCUAACUCUGUGCCAGCAGCCGCGGUAAUACAGAGGUCUCAAGCGUUGUUCGGAAUCACUGGGCGUAAAGCGUGCGUAGGCUGUUUCGUAAGUCGUGUGUGAAAGGCAGGGGCUCAACCCCUGGAUUGCACAUGAUACUGCGAGACUAGAGUAAUGGAGGGGGAACCGGAAUUCUCGGUGUAGCAGUGAAAUGCGUAGAUAUCGAGAGGAACACUCGUGGCGAAGGCGGGUUCCUGGACAUUAACUGACGCUGAGGCACGAAGGCCAGGGGAGCGAAAGGGAUUAG